AGGUAAUGUCUACUGCACCUUUAUCACUGUAGGCACUCGAUCACGCUGUGGGUCUUCGGACCUUAGACGUUCAUCGUCGAGGGUGUGAUGUGAGGAAGGGUUGAAUGCCCU
rfam:Paenibacillus curdlanolyticus YK9 ctg108, whole genome shotgun sequence.